UUAAAUUGAAGAGUUUGCUCAUGGCUCAGAUUGAACGCUGGCGGCAGGCCUAACACAUGCAAGUCGAACGGUAACAGGAAGAAGCUUGC
rnacentral:rRNA from 1 species